GACGAACGCUGGCGGCGUGCUUAACAUGCAAGUCGAACGGAAAGGCCCUGCUUUUGUGGGGUGCUCGAGUGGCGAACGGGUGAGUAACACGUGAGUAACCUGCCCUUGACUUUGGGAUAACUUCAGGAAACUGGGGCUAAUACCGGAUAGGAGCUCCUGCUGCAUGGUGGGGGUUGGAAAGUUUCGGCGGUUGGGGAUGGACUCGCGGCUUAUCAGCUUGUUGGUGGGGUAGUGGCUUACCAAGGCUUUGACGGGUAGCCGGCCUGAGAGGGUGACCGGCCACAUUGGGACUGAGAUACGGCCCAGACUCCUACGGGAGGCAGCAGUGGGGAAUAUUGCACAAUGGGCGGAAGCCUGAUGCAGCAACGCCGCGUGCGGGAUGACGGCCUUCGGGUUGUAAACCGCUUUCGCCUGUGACGAAGCGUGAGUGACGGUAAUGGGUAAAGAAGCACCGGCUAACUACGUG
rnacentral:rRNA from 1 species